UUUGAGGACGGUGAACUUGGCAUCGAAGAACAAAUUUUUUGAGAUUUUUCUUUUGUUUUUUUUGCUUCUGUUGCUUUGUUAAUAUUUCUUUUAUUUUAAUAAAGAAGAGAUCGUAGGUCCCGAUUUGUUUGUCGCCACUUUAUGUUUCGUGCGAGGCCGACCUUUUGGGGGCAUGUGUCGAUUUUUGUAAAUAUUCUUAUCGACAGUUUUGAUGUAACAAAAGAUUUUGUUUAUUAGUUUUGUCGCGCUUGUUGGCGGAGUUGGCCGCAACCGAGGACUUGAUCAGGGUCCUGGUUUUUUGUCAACUAUGAAUCUUAUGCGUUUUCCUGAUAUGAGAAAUUUGUUGUGCUCGAACGUUUAGGGAUUGUAUUUGCUAAGAUGUUGGAUUCUGUUUCGUUACAAAUUAGUGAAAGAAAACAGUCUUUGACAUUAUCGAGCUGCUGUUCCACGGGUGUUGCGGUGUGUUUACUUUGAGUUCUGUUGGUGGGAGGAGACUGAACUCA
rnacentral:lncRNA from 1 species